GACAGGGGGUGCAAACGUUGUUCGGAAUUACUGGGCGUAAAGCGUGUGUAGGCGGUCCACUAAGUCGGGUGUGAAAUCCCUGGGCUCAACCCAGGAAGUGCACUCGAAACUGGCGGGCUAGAGUAUCGGAGAGGUUGGUGGAAUUCUCGGUGUAGAGGUGAAAUUCGUAGAUAUCGAGAGGAACACCGGUGGCGAAGGCGGCCAACUGGACGAAUACUGACGCUGAGACACGAAAGCGUGGGGAGCAAACAGG
rnacentral:rRNA from 1 species